ensembl:lncRNA
CAGUCAUGCCCGCCGGCCACGCUCAUUGUUAGAGACCUUCAAAAGAUCACUGCCAAGUCGUGAUGUCCUAGAUACAUUGUGGGUCAAGAUGAGAAGCAAGGCCCCUGUGAGCUCCCAGAAGCCACCUGGAAGCCUUGAACAGGUAUCACCCACUGGUUAACGGAAGGUCUGAGACUGGAACCCAAGCCUACAGAGCACCCACCUGCUCCUGUUUCUGGGCUCAGAGAAAGAGCCUCAGUGUCACAGGCCGUGUUCAAAAAAAGGAAGCAAAGGAGACCUGCUGCAGUCUCUGUCCAGAGAGAGCCAAAGGAUGGGUGAAGGUUGCAAAGCGAAAUCGUGGGUGUGAAGGGGCCGAUGCAGAACCCCUGUGGCCGCAGAGGCAGGGGCAGCGACCCGAGGGAGGACCCUGGCACCGGGCAUAAGGGGACAACCUCC